UUUACGGAGAGUUUGAUCCUGGCUCAGGACGAACGCUGGCGGCGUGCUUAACACAUGCAAGUGGAGCGACGAACCGGGCUUCGGCCCGGGGCAAAGCCGCGAACGGGUGAGUAACACGUGGGUAACCUGCCCCGAUGACCGGGACAACCCGAGGAAACUCGGGCUAAUACCGGAUGCGCUCGGUUCACACCAGUGGGCCGAGCAAAGGUAGCUUCGGCCUCCGCAUCGGGAUGGGCCCGCGGCGCAUUAGCUUGUUGGUGGGGUAACGGCCUACCAAGGCUACGAUGCGUAGCUGGUCUGAGAGGACGAUCAGCCACACUGGGACUGAGACACGGCCCAGACUCCUACGGGAGGCAGCAGUGGGGAAUCUUGCGCAAUGCGCGAAAGCGUGACGCAGCAACGCCGCGUGGGGGAA
rnacentral:rRNA from 1 species